CCAGUUAUCAUGCAGGAAGACAGAUAGGAAGAGGAAUAAUGCUCCAACUACUGUAAGCCAGUUUGGAUUUUGGUCCUCUGAAUAGAAGUAUAGCCCACAAUGCUGCCAACCUGCUCAAGACGUCCUCAGUUACACCCAAUCAGCCUCAAGUGGAGAUGUGACAGAAUUGUGGACGACAUGGAAUAGUCAAGAGCUGCUCAUAGUUGCGCAUGUUCAGGCAUGGAACAGGUUCAGUACUAAACAUCGCAAGAUCCGGGCAUUGUGAUGAAGGUGCAUGUUAGCACUGAAACGGAUGUUAGCCCGCCUGCUGAUCCCCGUGACUUACGAUGAGUAUACUAUACCUCAUUUUUGCACAUUUUACUGAG